rnacentral:tRNA from 1 species
AAUGUUUUAGGUUAAGUUAAACCUAAAGCCUUCAAAGCUUAGAAUGGAUUAUGAAUCCAAACAUUA